UACAUAGGUCCCAAGCGUUGUUCGGAUUCAUUGGGCGUAAAGGGUGCGUAGGUGGCGCUGUAAGUCGGGUGUGAAAUUUCGGAGCUUAACUCCGAAACUGCAUUCGAUACUGCGGUGCUUGAGGACUGGAGAGGAGACUGGAAUUCAUGGUGUAGCAGUGAAAUGCGUAGAGAUCAUGAGGAAGACCAGUGGCGAAGGCGGGUCUCUGGACAGUUCCUGACACUGAGGCACGAAGGCCAGGGGAGCAAACGGG
rnacentral:rRNA from 1 species